UACGGAGGGUGCGAGCGUUGUCCGGAAUCAUUGGGCGUAAAGGGUAGGUAGGUGGUCUCAUUUGUCUGGGGUGAAAGCCCAGGGCUUAACCCUGGAAGUGCCCCGGAAACGGUGAGACUGGAGUACUGGAGAGGGUCGUGGAAUUCCCGGUGUAGCGGUGAAAUGCGUAGAGAUCGGGAGGAACACCAGAGGCGAAGGCGGCCUGCUGGGCAGUAGCUGACGCUGAUGCGCGACAGCGUGGGGAGCAAACAGG
rnacentral:rRNA from 1 species